rnacentral:rRNA from 1 species
UACGUAGGGAGCAAGCGUUGUCCGGAAUCAUUGGGCGUAAAGCGCGCGUAGGUGGCCAUUUAAGUCCGCUGUGAAAGUCAAAGGCUCAACCUUUGAAAGCCGGUGGAUACUGUGAGGCUAGAGUACGGAAGAGGCGAGUGGAAUUCCUGGUGUAGCGGUGGAAUGCGCAGAUAUCAGGAGGAACACCAAUAGCGAAGGCAGCUCGCUGGGACGUUACUGACACUGAGGCGCGAAAGCGUGGGGAGCGAACAGG